UAUUUCACACCAGCAGAGCUGAAAUGGUUUGUUUAUUGAUCAUAAUUGAAAAAUUUGUGACAAAUUUUCUGUUUCAGCUUCCCAAACACGAUAUUGAGCUGCUUUUCUGUAUUUUAUGUGAUCAAAAAAACACAGUUUUGGAGACUGAUUUCCUCCUUAUAACUCACAAAUUUUGAGAAAAGCAUCAGUAUUAACUCGGUUGUACUAGAUUGUAUUUUGACUGAAGUGAGGUGAAAACCUAUCUGAACUAAUUUCACUGCUGCAUGUGUUUUAAACCUUGGAGCGGAAAACAAUAUUUGAGUUCGGUGAAACAAAAAUUUAACAUUUGCUGCAGAUUCGUGAAAAUAAAUCCAAAAGUAUUUCUCUCACACAGUUUUCGAGACUGGUGUCCUCCUUAUAACCUACAAAUGUUGAGAAAAGCAUCAGCGUUAACUAGGUUGUACAAUUUCAAGAUCAUUUUGACUGAAAUGAGGUGAAAACCUGUCUGAACCGAUUUCAUUGCUGCAUGUAUUUUGAACAGCAUUUGAGUUAAGUGAGACGCAUAAAAAUUCAACAUUUCCUGCAGAUUCAUGAAAAUAAAUCCAAAAGUAUCUCUCUCUGUUUAAAAAAAAAGGAUCAUCUCAUGGUGAGGCGAAGGAUUCAUGUACAGUACGUGUGAGGGUGCAGGAAGGAGCUGCUUUUCUGAGCGAUAAGUGCGAAGGAGGCUGCUCACAGCUUGUUUCAAGAUUCUGAUUUAUCUCCCAAACCGAUCCCUGAAUGUUGUGUCCAGCUCUUGAAAACUGCACGCUGAACCCACACAUCACCUUCUUCUGACUAGCUGUGCGCAAGAGGGGGGGAGAGAUGGGUGCUGUUCGAGUGAGUGAAAUGUGUGGCUGGAAAUUACUGUACACCUCAGUCUCAGUCAUCUGGAUGGCAGGAUCCCAGCAUGAGCCCAAACAACAAGGAAAUACUCUGCAGUCCUAAAGCACCUAUAAAAACCUUCAGACUGAUCCCCGGUGUAAUUAGAGGCUGGAGGAGAAAAUGCUGGUGAUAAUUAAAAUCUUACCCAUUACUUCUUUGCCUGUUUAAACGUGCUCGCUUCGGAUUGAACGGCCCUGGUGUCGAUUUCACUCUGUUUUGUUUUGUUUUGUUUGAUUCUCGCUGCCAAAUUGAGAUGAUGGAGGCUGGAGUAUUUGAAUAAAAGCGUAGGAAUCAGAUGAUGAAGCGAGAGGACAUGAAAGGUCGUGAUGGUGGGAGAGUGAGGCUACAGUUACACGAUUCACAGAGCCGCUUUUCUCAGUUACGCUGCGUCAGGAAUAACUCACAACCGCCUCACCAGAUUUCGCUGUUUUUUUUCUUUUUUCCUCAAGUCAUUGCUCUUUUCUUCCGAUCCAGUCUAAUUGAAAUUCUUUAAGAUCUCGCCUCAUCACAAUCGGGGGAAAGGGAGAAAGCUAAGCAGCUGACACUGAAAAGUUGUUGAAAUACAGUAAAAAGGCAAAAAGCUAGAGUCCACAUUGUGCGCAUACAGAGCACCAGCUGGUAUUUUUAGUGCGGCUGUAGGUGUGUGGUGAGUGCAGUGUGUCCUUUUGUGCUCCUGUUGUUUAUAACGAGACCCAAUUCACUCUGAUAAGAGAGUAGAUUACAGUAUGUGUGAGA